GCUAUCUUGGUCUAGCGGUAUGACGCUCGCCUCACAAGCAGCAAUGCAGUGUUCGCGAUAGGUCCGGAGUUCGAUCCUCCGAGAUAGUA
rnacentral:tRNA from 1 species